UACAGAGGUCUCAAGCGUUGUUCGGAUUUAUUGGGCGUAAAGGGUGCGUAGGCGGUGCGGUAAGUCGGGUGUGAAAUCUCGGGGCUUAACUCCGAAACUGCAUUCGAUACUGCCGUGCUUGAGGACUGGAGAGGAGACUGGAAUUUACGGUGUAGCGGUGAAAUGCGUAGAGAUCGGGAGGAACACCGGUGGCGAAGGCGGGUCUCUGGGCAAUUCCUGACGCUGAGGCGCGAAAGCGUGGGGAGCAAACGGG
rnacentral:rRNA from 1 species